GAUCAUUCAUACAUCCACAAGUAUGAGGAUAUAAAACUGAUGAUGUGAACAAUAAAUGGAAGGAGCAAAAUUCUAAAUCAAUGGGCAUUAGUAAAUUUUUGUAAAGUAGAAAAUCUCUUUUUUAGAGAUUUCAAAAAAGCUUCACACUACAGCAUCUCUUUUUUCCUCUAGCUUUUCACUAUGGUAUAUUCUUUUCUACAUCAGCUGCUUUCUAUAUAUGGAUAGGAUUUCCAGGGUUGCGACAUAGUAAAAUGAAGAUAGCAUCCUUCUAAUUCUAUAUCGCUUUUAAGCAUGAAGUAUCAAUUUAGUAACUUGGUGUCAGGUUUAGGUUCACCAUGGUGGCUUACUUUCUAGCAUGAGGUGUAACAAACAUAAAAUGGCAGCUUGAAGGAAAUUAGCACAAGGUGACUGUUCCUAAGAAAGAUGAGGUGACAGUUCAAGCAUAAGGUGGCAAUCUAAUAAUAAACAUGAGAUGGCAGCUCGCUGAACAAAUCAUGAUGCAGAAGCCAAUAGACAAGUAUGAGAUGGUCACUUGGUGGCAUUAAACACGAGGUAUUAAUUACUAGC
rnacentral:lncRNA from 1 species